AAAAACACUGUGAUGAAGAGAGUACAUGAGUAAUUUCUGUUACAGAGAAUUCCCGGCGGCUGAGAGGGAUGCAGGAGGACUGAUGGAAGAUGGCUUCGGAGAGGCGCACUGAACUGUUCUGGAGAUUUUCAGAGAUUGUAUAGAAUGACCAGACAGCAAGGCUGCGACAGGUUCCGCCUGUUAUAGCGGCAGGGUAUCUAGUAUACAGUGCACUGGUGUACCCGAUGAGAUUCGGAUCGCGAGGUCUGGAUGAAUAGAAGUGGUAACACGGGAAAUAUCCCCGUCUUCUGA
rnacentral:ncRNA from 1 species